CUAGUUCUCUGAAAGUGGAUGGACCUUCCAGUGAUUCAAACCUCUUGGAUAGACCUGGCCAAAUGUGUGAGGAGUGCAGUAAAUCUUUCCCUCUUGGCAGGGGUCAGCAGUUUGAUGGAGACUGUAAUCCUGUGAAUGUGCAGUUCUUAUAGACUGUGAAAUGCAAUAAUAAUUUCAGUGUUUUAUUACAGUAACAUUUAACAAAAUCAUGGCCAUGGAGGGAAUUAAACUUACACAGAAUGUCCAUAAUGAGACUCUGAGUGCUGUUGUUUCAGGUACGAUACAGAGUGCCUACUCUGAGUGGCACAUUAAAGAGACGAAAGCCAUCUUUUCCUUAUUGCUUUUAAUGUACAGAAAUGCUUGGAUUUAACUAUAAAUUACUUGUACAAUGACCUCAACUGUCUGGGAUACAGCAAAGCAAAGGCAGCUAAAACAGAUAUCAUUCAUUCUCCAAACUCCUAGGGGAGCUUCUUAGGCUUUUGCUUGGCACCUAGUGAUUCUUUCUGUACAUACAAUUCUAUCCUUCUUGAUUAUCUGAUCUC